rnacentral:misc_RNA from 1 species
UUUCCGUAGGUGAACCUGCGGAAGGAUCAUUAUUGUCUACCCGAGAUGCGAGGGCUGUCGCUGACGCGAUAGGUCUUGCACCCCCGAGUUCCCCCACUCACAUCCAUCUCACCCCUUAGUGCACCACCGCGUGGGUUCCCCUUUGGCUUCUUCGUAGGGGGGGUUACCUCUUCACACAUACGUAGUUUGCAUUGUAGAAUGUAUUUUUUGUUAUUGCGAUCACGCAGUUGAUACAACUUUCAACAACGGAUCUCUUGGCUCUC